rnacentral:rRNA from 1 species
ACCCCGUGUCAGGUGGGGAUACCCGCUGAGUUUAAGCAUAUAAAUAAGCGGGAGGAGAAGAAACUUUACAAGGAUUCCCUUAGUAACGGGCGAAGCGAACCGGAUCAGCCCAGCUUGAGAAUCGGGCGGUCUGUGUCAUCUGAAUUGUAGUCCGAGAAGCGCCCCUCAACGACGACCGCCCAAGUCCCCGAAAGGGCGCCGGGAGGGUGAGAGCCCCGGACCCCGUGACCUGCGCACCACCAGGCGCGCCGCCGACGAGUCGGUUGUUUUGGGAAUGCAGCCCCACCCAAAUUAAAUCCAAGGCUAAAUAUGGGCGAGACCGAUAGCAAACAAGUACCGCGAGGGAAAGAUGAAAAGGACUUUGAAAAGAGAGUCAAAGAGUGCUUGAAAUUGCCGGAGGGAAGCGGAUGGGGGUCGGGCGAUGCACCUGGUCGGAUGCGGAACGGCGGUUAGCCGGUCCGCCGCCGGCCGGGCGCGGAUCGAUGCGGGUUGCAUCGACGGCCGGGCCCCCGGACGGAUCGCUCGCUCGAGGGCAUACCGUCGAUGCGUCGAGGACAUGACGCUUAUCGCCGUAUUCCCACUGGGUACACGCGGCGACUUAGGCAUCGCCGCUAUUACCCCAUCCACCCGCCUUUGAAACACGACCAAGGAGUCCGACAUGCGCGAAGUCGACGCGCGAAACCCUAAAGGCACAAGGAAGUUAACGCUGAACCCCUCUCGAGGGGUUGCACCGGGCAUCCCUACUUCCGUGAAGGGUUCGAGAUGGAGCAUGCUGUCGGACCCCGAAAGAUGGUGAACUAUGCCCGAAGCGAGGCGGCCGCAGGAAACUCGUGGAGGCCCGCGAUACCGACGCAAAUCGCUCAUUCCUGACGGGGGGGCGAAAGACUAAUCGAACCAUCUAGUAGCCGGUUCCCUCCGGUUUCCCUCGAUAGCCGGAGACCACGGGCGAAGUUCUAUCGGGUAAAGCCAAUGAUUAGAGGCAUCGGGGCGAACGCCUCGACCUAUUCUCAAACUUUAAAUAGUAGAUGGCGCUGCUACUUUUGCUGAGGCCGUCAAAUCGAGAGCCCGGGCCAUUUUGGUAAGCAGAACCGGCGAUGCGAUGAACCGAAGCCGGUUACGGUGUCUAAUCAAGGCUACCCCAGAACACCACAAAGGGUGUUGGUCGAUUAAGACAGACGGAUGGUCAUGGAAGUCGAACCGCUAAGGAGAGUGUGUAACAACCACCCUGAAUCAACUAGCCCUCCCCAAUGGAUGGCGCGAAGCGCCGCGACCCACACCUACCAUCGGGCGAGCGCCAAGCCCCGAUGAGUAGGGGUUGGGCGGUCGCCGCAAAACCUGUGGCGCGAGUCCCAUGAGCGUCGUCGGUGCAGAUCUUGGUGGUAGUAGCAAAAUAUUCAAAUGAGAACUUUGAAGGCCGAAGAGGGGGAAAGGUUCCAUGUGAACCAAGCACUUGCAUGGGUUAGCCGAUCCUAAGGGACGGGGAAGCCCGUCCGCGCGUCUCCGCCGAAGUUCGGAGGGAAUCGGGUUAAAAUUCUGAAGCCGACGCGGCAAGCGGGAGACGCGCAACAAGGAAGUCCGAGACGCCGGGGGGGUCCGAAGAGAGUUAUCUUUUCUGCUUAACGGCCCACCCACUUGAAACGGCCAGCCGGGAGGUAGGGUCCAGCUGGAAGAAGAGCCGCAUGACGCCGCUACGGCUGUCCGCCGUCUGACGGCCCUUUGAAAAUCCGGAGGACCGAAAAUGCCUUCUCGGCCGCAAUAACCGCAUCAGUCUCCAAGGUGAAUGCCUCUGCCCAUGGAACAAUGUAGGCAAGGGAAGUCGGCAAAACGGAUCCAGACUUCGAAAAGGAUUGGCUCGAGGGCUGGGCACUGGUCCCGGCCUACUGUCGGUGGAUCGCCGAAGCUGCUCAAGCGGGUCACCGCCAAGGUUUACCCGGGAUCGAUUGAAUGGCCCUGGGCCUCCCCCGGCGAACACCGACUUUAACCGGUACGGACAAGGGGAACUCCAUCGCUUAAUUAAAACAAAGCAUUGGCAUGGUCCCCGCGGAUGCUCACGCAAAUGAUUUCUGCCCGCUGGCUCAAUGUCAAAGUGAAGAAAUUCAACCAAGCGCCAGUAAACGCUGGAGUAACUAUGACUCUCUUAUAGUAGCCAAAUGCCUCGCCAUCUAAUUAGUGACGCCAAGCAUGAAUGGAUUAACGAGAUUCCCACCGUCCCCUCGCUUACUAUCCAAAUAAACCACAGCCAAGGGAACGGGCUUGGCAGAAUAAAGGGAAAGAAGACCCUCGUUGAGCUUGACUCUAGUCCCAAUUUUGUGAAAUGACUUGAGAGGUGAGAUAAGGGAGCCGCCUUCACCGCGAAGUGAAAUACCACUACUUUUAACGCUAUUUUACUUAUUCCAGGAGUUUGAGGCGGGGCCCGCCCUCCUUUUGGGACCCAAGGCCUCACUCUAGCGGGCCGAUCCGGCGAAGACAUUGUCGGGGAGUUUAUUAAAGCGCACAUCUGUUAAAAAGAUAAAGCAGGUGUCCUAAGAUGAGCCUAACGAGAACAGAAAUCUCGCGGGGAACAAAAAGGGUAAAAGCUCGCUUGAUUCUGAUUUCCAGUACUAAUAAUGAACCAUGAAACGUGGGCCUAUCGAUCCUUUAGACCUUCGAAUUUGAAGCCAGAGGUGUCGGUAAAGUUACCACAGGGAUAACCGGCUUGUGGCAGCUGCUGCUCAUAGCGACGCUUGCUUUUUGAUCCUUCGAUGCGUCGGCUCUUCCUAUCAUUGUGAAGCAGAAUUCACCAAGUGUUGGAUUGUUCACCCACCAAUAGGGAACGCGAGCUGGGUUUAGACCGGUCGUGAGACAAAGGUUUUACCCCACCGAUGAUCGUGAAACGCGAUAGUAAUUCAACCUAGUACAGAGGAACCGCUGAUUCACACAAUUGGUCAUCGCGCUUUGGUUGAAAAGCCGCGAUGCCGGCUUAAUGCGGUGUCGGAUUAUGACUGAACGCCUCUAAGUCGAAUCCUAGCUAGCAACCGGGCGCUUCGUCGUUUUCGCCCCGGACCACAAGGGGGCCUUUGGCCCCAUGGCUCGCGGUCGGCCGGUAGCCCUCGUGGUGGUAUAGCCACCAAGGGCGCCAUCGGGAAGUGAAAUUCCGCACCGACGACGGGGGUCAAUCCUUUGCGUACGACUUAAAUACGCCGAUGGGGCAUUGUAAGGUGGUAGAGGGCCUUGCUGCCACGAUCCACCGAGAUCCAG